rnacentral:rRNA from 1 species
AACGAACGCUGGCGGCAUGCCUAACACAUGCAAGUCGAACGAGACCUUCGGGUCUAGUGGCGCACGGGUGCGUAACGCGUGGGAACCUGCCCUUAGGUUCGGAAUAACUCCCCGAAAGGGGUGCUAAUACCGGAUAAUGUCUUCGGUCCAAAGAUUUAUCGCCUUUGGAUGGGCCCGCGUGGGAUUAGCUAGUUGGUAGGGUAAAAGCCUACCAAGGCGACGAUCCAUAGCUGGUCUGAGAGGAUGAUCAGCCACACUGGGACUGAGACACGGCCCAGACUCCUACGGGAGGCAGCAGUGGGGAAUAUUGGACAAUGGGCGAAAGCCUGAUCCAGCAAUGCCGCGUGAGUGAUGAAGGCCUUAGGGUUGUAAAGCUCUUUUACCCGGGAUGAUAAUGACAGUACCGGGAGAAUAAGCUCCGGCUAACUCCGUG